GCAGUCAUAACAUCCAGACCACCAAUGUACCAGCGCUCAGGCCUAAAACCUGUUUCUGAGGGUUGGUUUCUGUCUUUGGUUAUCUAGCUGUAUGAGUUUUAACACUUUUCAUAAAGCUAGAUAACCGAAAGUAGAAAUAAUUCUCCAAAUCUGCUGAGAACAGCAAGAGAGCACCCACUUUUUCCUCAGAGUUUUAUUUCCAUCCACAUUAUGGCCCAAAAAAGUAACAACAACAAGGACAGAGCCAUCAGAGAGAGCGAGAGAGAAAGAUGCACGAAGGAACAUUGCUAUAUCUUCCCCUCUCCUCCUACCCAGAAACCCCCAGUGCCAUCUGUACCCCUGUGGGGUGCGGGAGAAUCUGUGCCAGUGCCAGGAGCGACAAAACCCUCGUCAGCGUCCUGGACGGCACAGGGAGGAAGGGAGGCCAUCUUGACGGAGAUCUUACACAAGAAGCUAAGAUGGCUGGGCUGGCACAUGAGAUGUGGACUGAACUUUGGAUUCACACUUUGCUGAAAAUUUGUCGAAAACGACUAAUUAUUCAUCCAGAGAGAACAAUGGGAGCCUCAAGCACCUGAAAGUUUAAGAGGCACAUAAAAUCAUGUUGAUAAUGAUGAUGUGUGUGUAUAUGAGAGCAAAAGUAUUUUGUCUUCAUUGAAAAAGAAUU